GAUGAACGCUGGCGGCGUGCCUAAUACAUGCAAGUCGAGCGAACGGACGAGAAGCUUGCUUCUCUGAUGUUAGCGGCGGACGGGUGAGUAACACGUGGAUAACCUACCUAUAAGACUGGGAUAACUUCGGGAAACCGUAGCUAAUACCGGAUAAUAUUUUGAACCGCAUGGUUCAAAAGUGAAAGACGGUCUUGCUGUCACUUAUAGAUGGAUCCGCGCUGCAUUAGCUAGUUGGUAAGGUAACGGCUUACCAAGGCAACGAUGCAUAGCCGACCUGAGAGGGUGAUGGGCCACACUGGAACUGAGACACGGUCCAGACUCCUACGGGAGGCAGCAGUAGGGAAUCUUCCGCAAUGGGCGAAAGCCUGACGGAGCAACGCCGCGUGAGUGAUGAAGGUCUUCGGAUCGUAAAACUCUGUUAUUAGGGAAGAACAUAUGUGUAAGUAACUGUGCACAUCUUGACGGUACCUAAUCAGAAAGCCACGGCUAACUACGUG
rnacentral:rRNA from 1 species